rnacentral:rRNA from 1 species
UGGGGAAUAUUGCACAAUGGGCGAAAGCCUGAUGCAGCGACGCCGCGUGAGAGAUGACGGCCUUCGGGUUGUAAACCUCUUUCAGCAGGGACGAAGCGCAAGUGACGGUACCUGCAGAAGAAGCACCGGCUAACUACGUGCCAGCAGCCGCCGUAAUACGUAGGGUGCAAGCGUUGUCCGGAAUUACUGGGCGUAAAGAGUUCGUAGGCGGUUUGUCGCGUCGUUUGUGAAAACCAGCAGCUCAACUGCUGGCUUGCAGGCGAUACGGGCAGACUUGAGUACUGCAGGGGAGACUGGAAUUCCUGGUGUAGCGGUGAAAUGCGCAGAUAUCAGGAGGAACACCGGUGGCGAAGGCGGGUCUCUGGGGAGUAACUGACGCUGAGGAGCGAAAGAGUGGGUAGCGAACAGG